UGUGUGUGUCCUUGUAUGACCUUCACUGGAGCAGGUAUCAUGUCUUGCUUUAUAUCUUUUUAUAUGUUAAUCUCCUAGCAUAAUACCUGACCACAGUAGACCUUGAUGAGUAUCUAUUGAGUAUGUGAGUGUGAUGGAUGCCCUCUAAGGUAGCUCAGCAGAUGCUUUCUCUCUUCUGUUAUUGUCUUCCUGUUGCGCAUAGAGCAGACAGUGUGAGCAUCCUCUACUGAGUCAUGUAUGAUGAAAGUAAUGAGCUAUAUGCCAAGUGUGGUGGCUCCCACCUGUCAUCCCAGAACUCAGCCAGCCAAGCCAGUAGAAGUGCCAUAAGUUUCAGGCCAGCCUGGGCUACCUAGUAAGUUACAGGCCAGCCUGAGUCACAGUUGAAACCUAGAUCAAAACACAACACCAUACAACACACGAGUUACGCACUAGCAUUUUCAGCUAGGUUACAGGAAGCCGAGGCUUUCUCCACAUCUUCCCUCACUUCUUUGCCUGGCAUUCUAAGGUGAGCCAACUGCCACACCUUAUGCUGUUCUAUGGAAGGACCCAAACGCCAAGGAACUGGCAUCUCUGGAUAAUAGCCAGUGAGAAACCCCCGUUUGUCAAAGACCACUAUGUGACCACUGCUGUUUCUCAGACCCACCACCAUGACUCACCAUGUCAAUGCUCUUUGGGGAGUGGUGUAUGUAUAAGCGGGUAGGAUGGACUGAGGGUAAAUGAACCACAUCCAACCAUGGGAACAGAUGCAACAGUGAAAAGAACAUCCCCGUCGCUUUGUCUGAGACUGCCACUCAUGCCUGGGGUUGCAAGGCAGACAUUUUUAAAAGUCUAAAAGCUUGGGCAUGUUUAGGAAACAGAUGGGAAACAAAUGAAGCAUUGAGGGUUUGCAAA